UACGGGGGGGCAAGCGUGUUCGGUAAUUACUGGGCGUAAAGGGCUCGUAGGUGGCCAACUAAGUCAGACGUGAAAUCCCUCGGCUUAACCGGGGAACUGCGUCUGAUACUGGAUGGCUUGAGUGUGGGAGAGGGAUGCGGAAUUCCAGGUGUAGCGGUGAAAUGCGUAGAUAUUGGGAGGAACACCAGUGGCGAAGGCGGCUCACUGGACCGGAACUGACGCUGAGGCGCGAAAGCGUGGGGAGCAAACAGGG
rnacentral:rRNA from 1 species